GCCGUCGGAUCUGGCCUUCUGGCGUGGCUGGACCGUUAGAUUUUCACCUCACGGUCAAACCCGAUUUUCACCUUGCAGUUGUUUUGACUGGCCCAUGACGAGCGGGCUCGUCUCGCGUGCUUGUUGGCUGGGUUGGCCGUGCGUGUGUGCAUGAGGUUUUGGCCAAUCCGUACCCCGCAUCCCGCAACCAAUCCAUCCUCGCCUCAUCCCACUCCCGCGCCAGCCACCACCCAAACCAUAGCCCCCUUUCCCCUGGAUCCCCACAGCCUCUCUCGCCUCCUCCAUCCCUCCUCCACGCCUCGCCGCCGCCUCCGCCUACUAUUCCUCCUCCACCACCGUUGCUACUUAUCCACCACGCUAGCCCCUCCACUUCAGCUUCCUUUUCUUCGUUGUCUGCACGCGUCAGCGAGGCCUGGCUCCAGAUCUGGCGCGGGUUAGGCGAGCUCGGUGGUGGGAUGAAUGGGCAGGGGAGGUGGGCGAUGAGGGCAGGCAACAGUCGGCUCGUCGCGAUGUGGUGAAGCUGCAGGGAAGAGGGAGGAGGUCGGCGAUAGGGGUGCAGCGCGCUCGGCACACGACGGGCGCGGCGGUCAAGGCCAAGGGCGCAGCUGGGGAGUUGCACACGCGUCGAGUAACGGCGACCGCAUCCGCUGCCAACAUCGAGUGGCCAGACAUUGAGACAUGGAGGCCGAGUGGCACAACACCUCUGCUACAACCAGUUCGCGUGAUGUUGUAACCGGCUUAGCCCCCAGCUACAACCGGUGCCACCGCUGUGGAGCUAUCCGAGGCCGGCCAUGGUGACCUUCCAUGUCGAAAGCUGCAACCACCUCUACAUAGCUGGAACCCGCGGCGCCGAAAGUUGCAACCACUGCCGGGGAAAGCUGCAACCACUACCCAAUUUUGCAUUUUUUUGCUACCGUCGUUUAUUUUUUUGCUGGAACCAGCACAAUUUUUUGCUACCACUGGUUUUUGGGUAUGCUGAAACAAGCCCCAAUUUUUGUAAUUUUUGCUACCGACAGCGUUUUAGUUUGCUAGAACGAACUUUAUUUUUUGC